rnacentral:lncRNA from 1 species
UCUCCAACCAUUAACUUUGACUCAAAAUUAACAUGUAGCUUGAUCUUUAAGUCCUUCAAUACCAUGCCAAAUUUUAGCUUGAUCCAAUUAGUAGAUAUCUAGAUAUCAUAGAAAUCCUACUCAACCUCAAAUUGCCAACUUCUAAAACCCUCUUGUACUAAAAACUAGAUAUCUCUAAACCAUGCCAUUAGAUUAUCACAAAAUUUUAUAUACACUUAGCACAUCCAAUAAUCCAAAUAAUAUCAAAUUUUGCAUUGUAGAUACUACACCAAUUGCACGAACUAGCCAAAAUUGCUAGUCUUAAUUAUAUUAUAUAAAAUCCAAAUCACCAAUAUAAACCCUAACUUUAAAUAAUGAUUGCUAAGUCAUCAAAAAUCUUC